ACGAACGCUGGCGGCAGGCCUAACACAUGCAAGUCGAGCGCCCUUUCGGGGGAGCGGCGGACGGGUGAGUAACGCGUGGGAAUAUGCCCUUCUCUACGGAAUAGCCUCGGGGAACUGAGAGUAAUACCGUAUACGCCCUUUGGGGGAAAGAUUUAUCGGGGAAGGAUUAGCCCGCGUUGGAUUAGGUAGUUGGUGGGGUAAUGGCCUACCAAGCCGACGAUCCAUAGCUGGUUUGAGAGGAUGAUCAGCCACACUGGGACUGAGACACGGCCCAGACUCCUACGGGAGGCAGCAGUGGGGAAUCUUAGACAAUGGGGGCAACCCUGAUCUAGCCAUGCCGCGUGAGUGAUGAAGGCCUUAGGGUUGUAAAGCUCUUUCAGCUGGGAAGAUAAUGACGGUACCAGCAGAAGAAGCCCCGGCUAACUCCGUG
rnacentral:rRNA from 1 species